CCUACGGGAGGCAGCAGUGGGGGAUAUUGCACAAUGGGGGGAACCCUGAUGCAGCGACGCCGCGUGAGAGAAGAAGUACCUCGGUAUGUAAAGCUCUAUCAGCAGGGAAGAAAAUGACGGUACCUGACUAAGAAGCCCCGGCUAAAUACGUGCCAGCAGCCGCGGUAAUACGUAUGGGGCAAGCGUUAUCCGGAAUUACUGGGUGUAAAGGGAGCGGAGACGGUAAUGCAAGUCUGGAGUGAAAGGCGGGGGCCCAACCCCCGGACUGCUCUGGAAACUGUGUAACUGGAGUGCAGGAGAGGCAGGCGGAAUUCCUAGUGUCGCGGUGAAAUGCCUAGAUAUUCGGAGGAACACCAGUGGCGAAGGCGGCCUGCUGGACUGUAACUGACGUUGAGGCUCGAAAGCGUG
rnacentral:rRNA from 1 species